CGUUCUUAGUUCGUGGAGUGAUCUGUCUGCUUAAUUGCGUUUCAAAAUUUAAACCUGAGCGACAAGGUGCUGCUAUCGAAACUGUCUUUGAGUGUGAACUAUAAGUCUUUUGACUUAUGACCAUCACUCUAGACGUUUAUGUUUUGGUGUUGGCCCUUGAUGCUCAUUUGAACGCAACGGACGUGAUUGCAACCCCUUGUUGAGAUUUAUCCGAUCUCUACGUUCACUGAACCACACUCUUUAGCGAGAGCAGUGGGGAUGUGGAUAAACUCGGGGGACUGCUGACUAUAAACUUUUCUCAAACCAGAGGAAGGUUGCGGCAAUAACAGGUCUGUGAUGCCCUCAGAUGUUCCGGGCUGCACACGUGCUACAUUUAGUAGCGCAGUGUGCACAUUAAUAGAGUGAUAGGUUCCGUGGUUUGUACAUUUUAAGGGCUCGUCCUAGUAACCAAAGCUCCACGGGACAUAUCAACCUUCCCCUUACAGGGCGGGUAACCUCUUCGAAGUGCUGGCAUGAUUUCCCUAGUUUUGGCAUUUGAAUCCUUGUCGCAGCAGCCCUGAGACGUAGUGAAC
rnacentral:rRNA from 1 species